rnacentral:rRNA from 1 species
AUUGAACGCUGGCGGCAGGCCUAACACAUGCAAGUCGAGCGAGCGGCGGACGGGUGAGUAAUGUAUGGGGACUGCCCGAUAGAGGGGGAUAACUACUGGAAACGGUGGCUAAUACCGCAUACUAUCGGAUAACCCAGAUGGGAUUAGCUAGUAGGUGAGGUAAUGGCUCACCUAGGCGACGAUCCCUAGCUGGUCUGAGAGGAUGACCGGCCAACCUGGGACUGAGACACGGCCAAGACUCCUACGGAGGCAGCAGUGUGGAAAAUUGCACAAUGGGCGCAAGCCGGAUGCAGCCAUGCGGCGUGUAUGAAGAAGGCCCUAGGGUUGUAAAGUACUUUCAGUCGGGAGGCGUUACCGACAGAAGAAGCACCGGCUAACUCCGUGCCAGCAGCCGCGGUAAUC